GAUGAACGCUAGCGGCAGGCUUAACACAUGCAAGUCGAGGGGUAUAGUUCUUCGGAACUAGAGACCGGCGCACGGGUGCGUAACGCGUAUGCAAUCUACCUUUUGCAGAGGGAUAGCCCCAGAGAAAUUUGGAUUAAUACCUCAUAGUAUAGCAGUUUCGCAUGAAACCACUAUUAAAGUCACAACGGCAAAAGAUGAGCAUGCGUCCCAUUAGCUAGUUGGUAAGGUAACGGCUUACCAAGGCUACGAUGGGUAGGGGUCCUGAGAGGGAGAUCCCCCACACUGGUACUGAGACACGGACCAGACUCCUACGGGAGGCAGCAGUGAGGAAUAUUGGACAAUGGCGGCAAGCCUGAUCCAGCAAUGCCGCGUGCAGGAUG
rnacentral:rRNA from 1 species